rnacentral:rRNA from 1 species
CGAAAGCCUGACGGAGCAAGACCGCGUGAGGGAGGAAGGCUCUUGGGUUGUAAACCUCUUUUCUCAGGGAAGAAGCUCUGACGGUACCUGAGGAAUCAGCCUCGGCUAACUCCGUGCCAGCAGCCGCGGUAAUACGAGGGAUGCAAGCGUUAUCCGGAAUUAUUGGGCGUAAAGCGUUCGUAGGUGGCAAAUUAAGUCUGUUGUUAAAACGUGGAGCUUAACUCCAUACCGGCAAUGGAAACUGGUUAGCUAGAGUAUGGUAGGGGUAACAGGAAUUCCCAGUGUAGCGGUGAAAUGCGUAGAUAUUGGGAAGAACACCAGCGGCGAAAGCGUGUUACUGGGCCAUUACUGACACUGAGGGACGAAAGCUAGGGGAGCG